rnacentral:misc_RNA from 1 species
UUAAGUUCAGCGGGUAUUCCUACCUGAUCCGAGGUCAACCUUGAUAUAGAAGCGGUGGUGUCGUUUUUAGGCGACGCCACCAGAAGACCGGGUCUGAAGUUCUAACCUAGUACGUGCCCGAAAGCUCAGUGUACAGGAGUCCUCACAGACGCCGUCAUUAUCUUUGAGACGGGCAGGGCCCGAAGGCUCCGCCGGACGUC